GACGAACGCUGGCGGCGUGGAUUAGGCAUGCAAGUCGAACGGUAUCAUCCUUUCGGGGGUGAGAGAGUGGCGAACUGGUGAGUAACACGUAGGUUAUCUACCCUCAAGACGGGGACAACCCAGGGAAACUUGGGCUAAUACCGGAUGUGAGCAACUUUUAGUUGUUUGAAAGGUGGCGUAAGCUGUCGCUUGGGGAUGAGCCUGCGUCCUAUUAGUUAGUUGGUGAGGUAACGGCUCACCUAGGCAAUGAUAGGUAGGCGGCCUUAACGGGUGGUCGCCCACACUGGGAUUGAGAUACGGCCCAGACUCCUACGGGAGGCAGCAGUCGAGAAUAGUCUACAAUGGUCGGAAGACUGAUAGUGCGACGCCGCGUGAACGAUGAAUCCCUUCGGGGUGUAAAGUUCUUUUAUAUGUGAGCAGUGCUUCUUAUAUUAACAGUAUGGGGAGGAGAUAUUAGCAUAUGAAUAAGCAACGGCUAACUCCGUGCCAGCAGCCGCGGU
rnacentral:rRNA from 1 species